rnacentral:misc_RNA from 1 species
GUGCCAGAUGGAUCUGUAUAGUACCUGUGCAUAUUCAACUCUUUUUAAGCCAAAUGACAGGCAGUCAAGCACUAUAACAGGUGAUCAUGAAUAAUGCAUUUCCACAGGGUUGAUUCUAGUACCCUUCUACAAGUAUUAACUUGUAAAUUUCAGCACAACAAGUAGUAAAUUGCAUCAUCUAUGGAUACUAAUUAAAUUCCAAUACAUGCAGAAAGGCAGCAGUCCCUUCAUACAAGGAACAGACCUCUACCAAAUACAGACUAUAAUAUAAUCCAUUGGCAGCCAUAACCCUAUCAAUGUGUGUGUGUGUGUGUUUGUAUUCGUCAACGUUAAGCAAACAAAUAUUAUAACAACUUAUUACUCACAGGCUAGGACCAUUCUCAUCAU